rnacentral:lncRNA from 1 species
AUGGUUCCUUACUCACUUCACCAACAAAACCCAACAAAAUUAUGCAAAUCAAGGGGUUCAAAUCUUCAGGUUCAUUUCAAGAGCACCCAAGUUAUCUAUAAAACUGCUCAAGACAUCUAGGCUCUGUAUAUAUGAGAAGCCACCAAAUAUCUGAAAGAUGUCCCUUUACAGAAGCAGUGUGCCAUUUCUAUCCUACAGUGGUAGAGCCACUGUACAAUGACAAUGUACAAUGCCAGAUGGGAGAGCUGGACACAGGUUUGCUGGCACAAAGAGAGCUGGAUUUUUUCCUGCACAUGCUUAAAAAUGCAGAGAAUAAUGCUGAUCUUCAAGGUUUAAAUAUAGACCGUCUAGGCAUUGAGUACAUUCAGAUGAACAAAAUCCCCAAGAUGUGACAUCUGAUAGUGCUCAUGGUUGAAUUAACCCAUGUAUGAGCUUUGCUUGCCACAUUACUGAAAAAGAACAAAUUGUUCUAAAACCAGAAGUGGAGAUUGCACAGAAGAAAAAGUUAUGCCAGAAGAAACUGAAGAAAAAAAACUUAUGGCAUAGGAACAA